ensembl:lncRNA MIR663AHG MIR663A host gene
GGGCCCUGUGAGCGAUCGCGGUGGGCUUGGGCUGGUGACGCGUGCGCCGGCCGGCCGCCGAGGGGCUACCGUUCUGCCUCCGACCGGUCGUGUGUGGGUUUACUCGGAGAAAUACUAGGCUUUAGAAUUUCACCAUAUGAAUUUUGGGAGAGAGGAGCACAGUUCAGCCCAUAACUAACACACGUGAUGAAGAAGACAUGCCAACAGAGGGUUAAUUCCAGAUAAAAUGAAAUGUUCCAAACAGUACGUUUGGUUAUUUGAUUCAUCUGUGGGGGAAGGAAAGAUAAUUUUCCAAAGGACAUUCCUCCUAAAUUCUGUCUUAAAGUUGUUUACGGAAUGAAGUUGAUAAUAGUGAGACCUUGUUGGUACAAGACUAUGUAACAUAACCUGCGCUUCUCAACAAAGAAUUGCUUUUCUGACUUCUGCACUCAAUAGCAAGACAAAUCUCUCCUCUGCCUUCUCCUUAUCAGACUACUCAACAUGAAGGCAAUAAGAAUGAAGACCUCUAUGUAUAAUAAUUGACUUCCACUUAAUAAAUAGGCUGUUGAUUGCUGGCAGCAAAGAAGUCCAACUGUGCUGGUACCCGAGAUAGCGUCUCCACAUUUUCUUCCAGGAUCAUCACCUUUGUUCUAAAUAGCUCCCACAUAGUGUGAACAGAAGUCAUAUGUUUUAGAUUUUCUGCCUUGGCACCCAGGAAACCAGUAUGAUUGAGUAAACAUAUUAAACUUCCUCUGCAUUUCCAGCCUGAACAGAUGUUGAGUACAAGCUGAUCCACCUACGUUCAACCUGAGAGAGUCCACAUCCACAGACUGUUUCAUUUCCCUUUUUCAAUUUACAUAGAAGCAUAGAUUCUUGCUGGCAUAUACAAAUGCGCCAUUUAAGGCAAUCAAAAAUGGUUCCACAUCUCAUCUGAUUUCCACAAUUGUUGCUGUAACGAUGGACUACUGAGGAGAGAGACAAUUUCUCUGGCACAUCUUCCCACAUUUUAGCAACAUGUUCAUGGAGAGCCAAUAUUCAGUAAUUACAGCCCAAUUCCUCACAAUUUCACAAUUCGCUAACAAUAUGCAUUUUCACAAUGUAAAGCUGAUUUUCCUUUAACCAAAUCAAACAUGAAAAGAUAGCUGCAUGCAAUGGGCAAUCUAGAUCAUUAGAAGAUUGAUGUAAAAUUAGAGGACACUGAGACUGGAAUAGAUUGCAAACUUCAGGGAGCUCAGAAAACUUGUAAACUCUACAUUUUGAGGAAAUAUGUUGUCGAUGCUUUUGCAACUCUAUGCAGUAACUUAACAAAUAAAGCCUUAAAGUAAC